GGAAGGUAGAGAAGAGAACAGGUUGGAAAUUAAUUAGAACCAAUUAAUUCAGUGAAGGGUCAAAAUGAUGUCACGUUUUGAAGAGGGUGUGUGUUGUGGUUGUUGUCCAGUUGUUUUUACUGGGGCGACGGUUUCAGUCAGUCCGUCAGGCAAAAUGCCAAUCGGGAUAGGGGCAUAUUCUUCCCGAUUUCCGUUACGACUGCUACCACCGAGGUUAAUUUGGGAAUUGCAAUCUUCAGGUUAAGAGUUCAGAUAAGUUUAUGUAUUUUAAGCUAAUGAAGGCCAAUUGGGUGGCCAAACUACAUUCAGCUGCUUGUUUUUAAGGUUGAGCGUUUUUCUCCAUGACCGACAUCUAUAUAACCGCCUGGGGCAGGUGUAAUCACCUAGGCAUGUUUGAUUUGCAUGUAGCUUUGUCGAAUCUCUUUAUCACUUCUAUAUGAAUCCAUGUUCAAAGGUUGAGCGUUUUGCUUUUAUGCAUGAUUGCCAUCUAUAUAACCGUCUGGGGCAGGUGUUGGUUUGCAUGCAGCUUGUCGAACCUCUGUCACCUCUAUAUGAUUCCACGUUCUGCAGGUUGACGAUUUUUCUCCAUGAUCGACAUCUAUAUAACCGUCUGGGGCAGGUGUAAUCACCUAGGCAUGUUUGGAUUGCAUGAAGCUUUGUCGAAUCUCUUUAUCACCUCUAUAUAAAUCCUAGUUGUCUUAGGGUCUCUUCACAAUUCAGUAUUCAAGUUUUUCUUCCCUGUUGUUGCUAUCAAACCUUCUCUUCAUUUAUAACAGAAGCAGUUGAAUUUUCACUCUGGUGAUGAGUAUAGGAGCAAUUCAUUGUCAUGGAGCUUCCUAGUCAAAGUGAAUACCACAGUGAUUCUGUGGCUAACCCUGAUGGACUCGUAGGCGGUUUCAUUUCUCACUUUGUGGGUGAUAUAAUGACAAGCAGGCAAGACAUGGUAUCAGAUCAUGAACUUGAAGUGGUUCAAGUUAAGAUGAAAAUGAAAACUCAAAAUCCCUCGAGUUCAUCAGGUUGUGCUGCUCUUUUUUACUCACAUUCCCAACAUUAUAACAAUCUUUUACUCACAUUCCUAACAUUACAUAAAAUUAAAACAUAUAUAAUAAAUUAAAACGACACCUAACCCCCUAACAAAAAAAUCUUAUUAUAUAAAAAAUAAAAAUAAAAAAUAACAAUCUAAGAGGUUGAGUUCUUGGUGUGGUAUUUCUGGGGAAGGUCUUAAUUUGCAAUGUUGGGCUUCAUUUUGUCUUAUGUGACAUUUAUAGCACUUGUCAUAUGAGACACCGUGAAGCCUGGUUGUGAAGAGAGGAAAUCAUCCCUGAAAAUAGCACUCCAAUAACUUUUCCAUCCUAUAAUUUGUUGCAGGUUAAGGCUGGUAGGCGCUUGGGAGGC